GGCAACACGGCAUAACGCUUCACGUUUCCGCAAUCCCCGUCGCCGCGCAGCCUCCGCCACGAGCCGUCGCGAGACGCCGGGAAUGGGGAAUCCCGACGGGGCGAGGAAGAAGAAGAGGAGGAAGAGGAGCGGCGGCGAGGCGGCCGCCUCGUUCGACCGCGACGUCUUCCCCAUCCUCCUCGCGGCCGUCGCGCCAGCCACCGGGCCGAACCAACGCGCCUCCUCCGCCGCCACCGCCGCGCGCCUCCUGCGCCGCCUUCUCCCCCGCUCGCCGCCGCCGCCGCCGCUAUCCCCUCUCCCCGGACCCCUGGUCGCGCUCCUACCGCUCCUCCUCACCUCCAGCUCGCACUCCGUGGCCGCGCUGAGCUGCGAGGUGAUGGGCGCGGCGGCGCUGCAGUCCAUGGAGGCCGGCGAGGCGCUGGCAUCCGACGGCGGGAUCGCCAGUGGCUUGGCGCGGGCGUUGGGGAGUGGCAGCCAGCGAGUGGCCGAGGCUGCCUGCAAUGCCGUGAUGGACCUCUCGGCGUCUUCAAUUGGCAGGGAGCACCUCUCGGGCUCACCUGUUCUGCCGAGGCUAUUGUAUCUAUUUUCUCAGGUGGAAUCUAUUUCUGGGGCUGUCGGUGGCGGGAGCACCGGGUGCCAAGCAAGGGUUUCAGAGCCAAGUAAAUGUUUGAACUUGAUCAUUGACACAGUGGUGCUCAUGGUGAACUCCUGUAAAGUCGACAAGUUACACAAUCUUCAACAGGAGCUAGUUAGAAAAGUUAUGCAUUUGUUGUAUGAAGUAUGGAGCAAAGUUAGACUCUUACAGUCAUCAGCUGACUGCAGCAACGGGAAGGAUCAACUUCAAAGCAGACCAUAUGAGAUAUCUGAAGCUAUUUUUAGGCUUUCGAUGGAUCUUGCUUAUCCAGCCCACCUGGAACCUGAUGAAGUCAGAAAAAGCUUUUUUGGACAAACGGAAUCUGACUUUGAAAAGUUUGCCCUGAUGUACUGGGAAAACUCACCUUAUUUGUACAGGAAGAAACAAAGUGGUCUGGAGGGGGAUGCUGUGUUCACUGCAUUGCAUAACGCUUUUGAUCUUAGAACACCUGAUGCUAUCAUUGAGUCAUUCAUACAGGACCUUGUUUCUUGCCCUGCUAUUGCUUCGGAUGAACUCAACAUAAAUUCCUUUCUCGAUGAGGUUCAUGAUUCCUUGGGUGCUGCUGUGAAGUAUAGGCAAGAUGUAAGAGUCGUGAGAACACCAGAUCAGACCUCAACAGGAUCUGGGAUAGAGGAGCAUUUCUUUGAUGAUGGAACAGUCUUCCCAGAUGCAACUGCAUUUGUUGAAAAAUGUAAGGGCGCAAUCAGGAAUGGUUUCUCAAUCGCCUUGCGUGGCAUGGAGUUUCGGUCUGAAAAGGUUGCUGCUAUAGCUUCUGCUCUAGCUGAUCUAUUUGGUCAGCCUUCUGUAGGGGCCAACAUAUACUUCUCACCCCCAAGAUCUCAAGGUCUGGCCCGGCACUAUGAUGACCACUGUGUGCUUGUUUGGCAACUACUUGGACGCAAGAAAUGGAAGAUUUGGCCCAAUACAAAGUCAAUUCUGCCUAGAUUAUAUGAACCUUUUCACUCUUUAGAUGGCUUGGUGGAUGAUCGUGGUGGAAGGGUGGAAGUUUUACGUGAAGGAGACAUAAUGUAUGUUCCUAGAGGCCAUGUGCACGAGGCUUGCACUGACAUUGACGAAGGUGAAUCUGAAGUCAAUGCAUCCGCCAAUUACUCGCUCCAUUUGACCCUUGCCAUCGAGGUCGAGCUACCCUUUGAGUGGGAAGGGUUCACACACAUUGCUCUUCACUGCUGGUUGGAGGAGCAGAAACUUGUGGGGAGCUCUGGAUCUGUCGAGUCCAGGAUGGAAGAACAAGCUCCAUUGUUUGCUCUCCUGCUGCAUGUGGCCAUCAGGUUGCUCUCGGACAAGGAUCCUACACUCAGGAAGACGUGCAUGGUUGCGGCAAAGCUCCCAUCAUCCAGUAAGUCUGUCCGAAGCAGCCAUAGGUCAAUCUUCGACGAGAUACUCGACAACAUCGACAGGAACUGCGGCUUUGAGGAUGCGCUGAGGUCGGUUGAGCUCGCGGUCAAGGAGAGGAACGAUGAGCCGUUCCAGUGGAUGUGCUGGCUCCGGCAUCUCCCACAGCAGCAGCAGCAGCACGGUCGCAGCAGCAGGAUCGGCUUCUGCGACGUCCUGGGGCCCUUGGAAGAGCUUCUUGACAUGUUCAGCUCCGAUCGUGAGCGAGCCUCAGCCGAUUUCGCCGAUUUCAAGUCAAGGUUCUGUAGGCGUGCCAUGUACGACGACGCUUGCAGCGAGUUCGAGGCGCUGCUCGUUUUGUAUCGGGCGGGUCGGACGCGGUACGCCAAGGGCAUGCUUGCGUUGCACGGGAAGCAUGGAGGGUAACUGCUCCAGAGUUCCCCCCCAUUUUUGCCGAGCAGUUUGUCCUGUACACACACUGCGAAGGCGGUGACCGUUGCAUCACUGGUUGUUAACUCGGUCGUGCAACCUGGAGUAGUUUGUGGUUUCCACUUUUGCCGUUCUACGACGGAGGAUAAACUCGCCUGCUAGGCUACUAGUGUGGUUGCACUUGCACAAGAAGGCAGGGCCAAAAGUACAGGCAGCCCAUGUGUGCUACCGCUGCUGCUGGGCGCUGUCACAGUGUCACUGCUAGUCCGUCCGUCCCCGGCACCGGGCAGCCCGACUGGAAGUGGACCAAGCUAGGGUGCCCCCAUGACAGGCCACCCGGCGCAAAGACAUGCUGCACCUGACAAAGGGGUCCAUCCAUCCAUCAUCCUAUACGGCUACACCCCCAAUUAUUGGCCCCGGGGUCAAUGAGACACGCACGCCGCACAGCACAUAGUUUGCUUGCGUUGCGGUGCAGUGCAGGUCUUGCUCCGCUCUGAUGCAUCUGGCUGGGUUUGGUUGGAGAGGUCGCUUGGGCUGGGGCGGGAGACGGACGUGACAAGGAGAGGCAGCCGCAUCUUUCAUUUCAUAUCCGGAGCCAGAGGGAAGGAACAUUGUAAACUCUAUCCGAGAUGUGUGUGCCUUCUUUGGGCAGACGGCGCUUGGUUUCUGGCCCGGUUUGCCUCCGGUGCGGCUGCAAGGGGCGCCUCAAAUCUCGUCCACCCAGAGCCCUAUCGCCUAAUCAAGAGCCAGAUGCCACUGCCCGCGCCGCGGCCACUAGAAUCUCCCCCGCAAUCUAAAUUACUUGUACCACCGGCCUCCGCUCCCAUAAAUAUAAAUAAUAUUUCGAGCAAGGUCGCCUCCCCUUCCCUCCAUCCUCUCCUCCCUCGUCUCGUCCGCGUCCUUGUCCGUCUCUCUGCUAGCGCUGAAGGGGAAGGCGGCGGCGGAGUAAGUAAGUAAGCAGCGGCGAUGGCGCAGGCGGUGGUGCCGGCGAUGCAGUGCCAGGUGGGCGUGCGGGGCAGGUCGGCCGUCCCGGCGAGGCAGCCCGCGGGCAGGGUGUGGGGCGUCAGGAGGACCGCCCGUGCCACCUCCGGCUUCAAGGUGCUGGCCCUCGGCCCGGAGACCACCGGCGUCAUCCAGAGGAUGCAGCAGCUGCUCGACAUGGACACCACGCCCUUCACCGACAAGAUCAUCGCCGAGUACAUCUGGGUUGGAGGAUCUGGAAUUGACCUCAGAAGCAAAUCAAGGACGAUUUCGAAGCCAGUGGAGGACCCGUCAGAGCUACCCAAAUGGAAUUAUGACGGAUCGAGCACCGGGCAGGCUCCUGGAGAAGACAGUGAAGUCAUUCUAUACCCACAGGCCAUAUUCAAGGACCCAUUCCGAGGAGGCAACAACAUCCUGGUUAUCUGUGACACCUACACGCCACAAGGGGAACCCAUCCCUACUAACAAGCGACACAUGGCUGCACAAAUCUUCAGUGACCCCAAGGUCACUGCACAAGUGCCAUGGUUUGGAAUCGAACAGGAGUACACUCUGAUGCAGAGGGAUGUGAACUGGCCUCUUGGCUGGCCUGUUGGAGGGUACCCUGGCCCCCAGGGUCCAUACUACUGCGCCGUAGGAUCAGACAAGUCAUUUGGCCGUGACAUAUCCGAUGCUCACUACAAGGCCUGCCUUUACGCGGGAAUUGAAAUCAGUGGAACAAACGGGGAGGUCAUGCCUGGUCAGUGGGAGUACCAGGUUGGACCUAGCGUUGGUAUUGAUGCGGGAGACCACAUAUGGGCUUCAAGAUACAUUCUCGAGAGAAUCACGGAGCAAGCUGGUGUGGUGCUCACCCUUGACCCAAAACCAAUCCAGGGUGACUGGAAUGGAGCUGGCUGCCACACAAAUUACAGUACACUGAGCAUGCGCGAAGAUGGAGGUUUCGACGUGAUCAAGAAGGCAAUCCUGAACCUUUCACUUCGCCAUGACUUGCACAUAGCCGCAUAUGGUGAAGGGAACGAGCGGAGGUUGACAGGGCUACACGAGACAGCUAGCAUUUCAGACUUCUCAUGGGGUGUUGCGAACCGUGGCUGCUCUAUUCGUGUGGGCCGAGAGACCGAGGCAAAGGGCAAAGGAUACCUGGAGGACCGUCGCCCGGCGUCGAACAUGGACCCGUACACCGUGACGGCGCUGCUGGCCGAGACCACGAUCCUGUGGGAGCCGACCCUCGAGGCGGAGGCCCUCGCUGCCAAGAAGCUGGCGCUGAAGGUAUGAAGGACCUGAAAAGGCCGAAUUCUUCUGGGGAAAAGAAAAUAAAUCGGCGGUGGCGAGGCUGUUCGUCCGUCGUCCAUUCUUGUUGAUCCUGUGGUUCCGUCGGGGCACUGUCUGUACAAAAUCUUCACGGUUUGUAGAACCGCUCCGCAUGUUUUUUCGCUUGAACUGAGUCCAUUUGAUCUGUUGGGUCUGUACAAUCCCUGUACCUGAGUCCAUUCGGAGAACUACGUUAUUAUAAGGAUAAUGAAUCACACAAAGGAUUUUUCUUUGUGCUGCUUUCAACUUGGUCCGUCUGCUCGAUUGGUGCGCAGCCUUGGGCCCGGCGUGUGUGCGCUUGUCGCAGGCGUAUCGGUUUUCGGCCAUCUUGAUAGUUCUUUCUGAGUUGUGCCUGAUAUCAACGAUCUCUCUUGAUCCGUGAAUCAAUACAAAAAUCAAUGGGC
rnacentral:rRNA from 1 species